GUUUUCCGCAGUCAUGGCAGUUAAAGGGCCUCUCUCCUGUGUGGAUUCUCUAAUGUGAUACGAGGUGUGCAUUCUGAUGGAAGCUUUUCCCACACUCAUUGCAUUUCUAGGGUUUCUCUCCCGUGUGGG